AAGUCGUAACAAGGUUUCCGUAGGUGAACCUGCGGAAGGAUCAUUACUGAGUGAGGGCCCUCUGGGUCCAACCUCCCACCCGUGUUUAUUGUACCUUGUUGCCUCGGUGCGCCCGCCUCACGGCCGCCGGGGGGCUUCUGCCCCCGGGUCCGCGCGCACCGGAGACACUAUUGAACUCUGUCUGAAGAUUGCAGUCUGAGCAUAAACUAAAUAAGUUAAAACUUUCAACAACGGAUCUCUUGGUUCCGGCAUCGAUGAAGAACGCAGCGAAAUGCGAUAACUAAUGUGAAUUGCAGAAUUCAGUGAAUCAUCGAGUCUUUGAACGCACAUUGCGCCCCCUGGUAUUCCGGGGGGCAUGCCUGUCCGAGCGUCAUUGCUGCCCUCAAGCACGGCUUGUGUGUUGGGCUCCGUCCCCCCGGGGACGGGUCCGAAAGGCAGCGGCGGCACCGAGUCCGGUCCUCGAGCGUAUGGGGCUUUGUCACCCGCUCUGUAGGCCCGGCCGGCGCCAGCCGACAACCAAUCAUCCUUUUUUCAGGUUGACCUCGGAUCAGGUAGGGAUACCCGCUGAACUUAA
rnacentral:rRNA from 1 species